CUACGGGUCGCUGCAGUGGGGAAUCUUGGACAAUGGGCGCAAGCCUGAUCCAGCCAUGCCGCGUGAGUGAUGAAGGUUGGAGGGUAGUAAAGCUCUUUCGCCAGAGAUGAUAAUGACAGUAUCUGGUAAAGAGACCCCGGCUAACUCCGUGCCAGCAGCCGCGGUAAUACGGAGGGGGUUAGCGUUGUUCGGAAUUACUGGGCGUAAAGCGCGCGUAGGCGGACUAGUCAGUCAGGGGUGAAAUCCCGGGGCUCAACCCCGGAACUGCCUUUGAUACUGCUAGUCUAGAGUUCGAGAGAGGUGAGUGGAAUUCCGAGUGUAGAGGUGAAAUUCGUAGAUAUUCGGAGGAACACCAGUGGCGAAGGCGGCUCACUGGCUCGAUACUGACGCUGAGGUGCGAAAGUGUGGGGAGCAAACAGGAUUAGAUACCCCAGUAGUC
rnacentral:rRNA from 1 species